rnacentral:rRNA from 1 species
UACGUAGGGGGCAAGCGUUGUCCGGAAUCAUUGGGCGUAAAGCGCGUGUAGGCGGCCCGGUAAGUCCGCUGUGAAAGUCCAGGGCUCAACCCUGGGAUGCCGGUCGAUACUGCCGGACUAGAGUUCGGAAGAGGCGAGUGGAAUUCCCGGUGUAGCGGUGAAAUGCGCAGAUAUCGGGAAGAACACCUGUGGCGAAGGCGGUUCGUCUGGGACGGUACUGACGCUGAGA